AGUAAUGCUUGGGAAUCUGGCUUAUGGAGGGGGAUAACUGUGGGAAACUGCAGCUAAUACCGCGUAUAAUCGAGAGAUGAAAGGGUGGGACCGUAAGGCCACUUGCCAUAAGAUGAGCCCAAGUGGGAUUAGGUAGUUGGUGGGGUAAAGGCCUACCAAGCCUGCGAUCUCUAGCUGGUCUGAGAGGAUGGCCAGCCACACUGGGACUGAGACACGGCCCAGACUCCUACGGGAGGCAGCAGUGGGGAAUAUUGCGCAAUGGGGGGAACCCUGACGCAGCCAUGCCGCGUGAAUGAAGAAGGCCUUCGGGUUGUAAAGUUCUUUCGGUGAUGAGGAAGGGGUAUUAUUGAAUAGAUAAUAUCAUUGACGUUAAUUACAGAAGAAGCACCGGCUAACUCCGUGCCAGCAGCCGCGGUAAUACGGAGGGUGCGAGCGUUAAUCGGAAUAACUGGGCGUAAAGGGCACGCAGGCGGACUUUUAAGUGAGAUGUGAAAUCCCCGAGCUUAACUUGGGAACUGCAUUUCAGACUGGGAGUCUAGAGUACUUUAGGGAGGGGUAGAAUUCCACGUGUAGCGGUGAAAUG
rnacentral:rRNA from 1 species